AUUUUUCUCUUCUGAGUUAUGUAUUAUUUCUGUUUUUUGUGAAUAUGUUUCAAUAUGAAAAACUUAUGGCUUUGUGGUCUUAUUUUUGUGCUUUUAUCUUAUAUUUGAUUUGAUAUUUGAUAGUUGUGCUUUUAUAUGAAAUCAUAUUUGCAAAUUUCAUGAUAGUUGUGGUUUUAAGAUUUCUAUUAUUCUUUAGUUGUAGUUACUGGAUUUUUCUGUUUUUUUUUUUUUGGUAAAUAAGUUUUGAUUGUUGGAUAACCUCAAUUCCUAAUUUUUCUCAAUUGAUAACAACCUCAUUUUAUUUUGAUUUCAAAUUAGCAACUACUAAUAUAAAAUAUCAUAUCAAUUAGUUGUUUCUAUUUUUUAUAGUUGUUAUUUUAUUGAUUUCAAAAUGGAUUGUUCUCCGAAUUCAAAAUAUUAGGAUCGAUAUAGUUUUCUAUAGUAUCCUAUCAAAAAGUAGCACUUCACCACCUUCUUUUGCCAUUUUAUUAGGAUUGUUCUCCAACCUCAUUUGUCACUUCUAACUACAAUGUUAAGGAGGUAAGGACUUCUUUGGUUAUCUGUUGGACCAGUUUGUAUUAAAUACACUGUUAAUUAAUACACUGAUAUAUACCUUUCUUGGUGGUGUUUGACGGGAGAUUUGUCAAAAGAAGGUGGUGAAGUGUUUCAAAUCAGAAGAUCUUAGAUAAACAGGGUAACCACAAGAAAUGAGGGUGUACUAAAGGUUAUCAAGCUUCUACUGGAAUAAUGGAUCAGAUAUGGGAAUGAAGCAGCAGCACAUGCACCAUGAAGGUGGCGGCAGCCUCAAGCUUCAAAGUUUAUAAAUUAGGGUUUGAUUGAGUAAGAUAUGUUAUGAAAUAUACAACACUAUCGAUUGAUUUCAUGUUCUUUUUAUUCUUACAUAUUAGACAAGUAACAGAUUGAAGCGGCAAUGGAAGGAACCAAACAAGGACACACCGUCGGAACCACUAUUAGCAAGGACACAUAGCAGGAACCAGUUCAAGUGAGGUUGCUGCUGCUCAUCAAUUUGGGGAUAAAUGUAUGCCAUGUUAACAAUCAAAACAACUAUUCAUUUUCUUUCUAAUGUGAUGAGAAUUUGCUUCAUCUUUUCUCAAGCUACUAUUUAAAGGUGGUGUAGCAGAUUGUGCAUAUUGGAAGGAUAAUUCUCUGUGCCAUGAUUUAGAUGUUUCUCUGUUGGCUACAUGGCAUUUAUGAUAAAUUAUGUCCAUUUCAUAGUUAAAAAAGAUCCUAAGAGAGCUGAUACAAUUUGGGUCAGAUUCAUGGACUAAAUUUGAUCCCAAAGGUGAAUAUAAAAGGCAAAGGCUACCUGAGUUAGCAAGAAUGCCAACCAAGUGGAUCUGUCUUAAUUAGCAUUGCACAACCUACUGUGCCUAAAUAAAUAAGAGUUAAACCAGCUCAAAAUUUUCCAAAGUAAAAUAUUGUAUCUUUGGCAAAGAAGAAUGCUGACUGGAGCUAUAUUGUAGAUGUGGGAAAGAUGAGAAGCAAUGAUAGAUUUUCAAAGGAUGAAGUUUAAAUUUGUGAAGAUAGAGUUUUACAUGACAUGUCCUUUAGAUGGAGUUUAAGAGACCCUUUUUGUUCAAGCUUUUUUCUUAUUCAUUGUUUUAGCGGUGUCUUACACUUCAUUUAUAUGUAUUAAUGUAUGUAUUGAGCACCAAAAACAUGAUUUGUAUGUUGAACUUGAUUUAUUCUUUUCCUAUGUAAUUUGUUAUUUUUA